UUAUUUUCUAAUCUUUGUCCUCUUAAUUUUUUAACUUAUUUCUAAUUUUUUAAUUUAUUUAAAUUUUAUUUUAUUAAUUAAUUGAUUACUUUUAAUGGGUCUUAAUGAUUUAGGUUUCAUUUUCUUUAGGUCUUUUCGUUUAUCUCAUUUCUUAUUUUGCCUCCAUCUUCUUAGACAGAGAAAAAAAACCCUUCAGAAUAUAAUGAUCCUUUCAUUUCGCCUUCUCUGCUCUUUCUCUCUUUAAUUUUCCAUUCCACCCAAAUUUGACGAAUCUAAUAAUUUUAAGACAGCAGGAUUACCGGAGAAAGAGGCUGCCCCUGCAUCCAAAAUGGCAUCGUUUGGAGCUUAAUGCAAUUUGCGAGAGCAAUUAUCAGCAGAAGACGAAGAAGAGAUCUUAGCAGAAUUUGAGAGCUUAGAAAUUGAGGCUAUAAAAAUACUAAACGAUGAAAUGCAGUUGGAUGUCAUCAAGAUUGGAAAUUUGGUUCGGGUUAAAGUGCGCAAUCCGUAUGUUUAAAAUACGUUAUAAAAGAUGACCUUCUUUGAAAUCCUAAAGAAACAGGUAUUAUAGUAAUGUGUGAGUGUGUGCGUGUGCUUUAAAUAAAAUAAAAUAGAUGGGAGAACACUGCAAAUCGCUCGCAGUUGGGACGAAGGUGCUACUCCUCUUAAAGAUAUAUUUAAGGUCUUUUGGGUUCUAUUGUUUUUAUUUAUUAUGGUUUUUAUUUAUCAACUCUUUUGAUUUCGUAACUAAUUUUGGUAUAGUUUUUAUUCACUAAUUUUGGUAUGGUUAUUAUUUUUCAACUCUUUUUAUUUCUUCUUCAUCAUUCAUUUGGAUGUGAGCAGGAGAAAGAACUCUUUGAAAGGCGAAAGACAUAAUGCAUGGCUUAAUGAUGAGUUUACAUCCAAAAAAGACAAUCUUAUUGAGUUGCGGAGAAAGCAUGAUUCAAAGCUUGCAAAGUAACAUCAUUGGAGGAGGUAUUGAGAUACAAAAUUAUGUUGCAUCUCACUCCUUAUUAGCUGGGUAUCAUAUAUGUUAUAAUUCUAAUCAUGUCUAGGAAUUACGCUCAACUAAAGAUACUGCUUUAGCAAACGAAGAACAACUAUCUGCUGAACUCUUAACAGAACCACCUACCAAGAAGUUUGUUAUGGAUAGUGAAAUGUCAGAUUACAUUCUUGCCAAAGUUUGAUUCUGCAAGUAAGAUUAUCGAAUCAAUUAUUAUUUUUUGGUCUGUUUUUAGAAACUGUCUUAAUCCGAAGGAAGCAAUUGUAAAAGUAAUAUGUGCAUCUUCAAAAUGUGGAGAAUACCUGGUCGAGAUAAGUAUGAUUGGUGCUUUAGAAAUUAAUAAUAAAUUAUACAAUAUAAACAAAUAUUUGUGUGGUGGUUGGGUAUUUAUGCCAUUUUCGUUUAUGUGUUUUAUGGUUGAAUAUUGAGCUUUUUGGCUAUUUGUGUUUGUUUACUGUUAAUGUGGCUGUUAAACCUCUAGACUAUUUGAAUUUCUUAGUGUUUGGUCUUCAAAUUAUUUAACGAUUGUUUAACAGUACUUUUUUAUUUUAUUAAUGUCUUAAUGGAGAUAUACUAUUGUUUUAAAUACAAGUUUUAUUAUUGUCAAAUUUGAAACAAUAGAACUAAAAAC